GGGGAAUAUUGGACAAUGGGGGCAACCCUGAUCCAGCGAUGCCGCGUGUGCGAAGAAGGCCUGCGGGUUGUAAAGCACUUUAGUUGGGGAAGAAAGUUCAUGAUUCGAAUAGGGUUGUGAGUUGACGUUACCCAAAGAAUAAGCACCGGCUAACUCUGUGCCAGCAGCCGCGGUAAUACAGAGGGUGCAAGCGUUAAUCGGAAUUACUGGGCGUAAAGGGCGCGUAGGCGGUUGUAUAAGUUAGAUGUGAAAUCCCCGGGCUUAACCUGGGAAUGGCAUUUAAUACUGUAUGACUAGAGUAGAGUAGAGGGAAGUGGAAUUUCCGGUGUAGUGGUGAAAUACGUAGAUAUCGGAAAGAACACCAGUGGCGAAGGCGGCUUCCUGGACUCAUACUGACGUUGAGGCGCGAAAGCGUGGGUAGCAAAC
rnacentral:rRNA from 1 species